CCUUCGAUAGCUCAGCUGGUAGAGCAGAGGACUGUAGAUCCUUAGGUCGCUGGUUCAACUCCGGCUCGAAGGA
rnacentral:tRNA from 1 species